CCCCAUUUAAAAGCUGUCCAAACUGUAAGGAUUUUUUGGCCAUGUUGAGCCAAUGAUAUUCUGAAUCUUCCUUUAGAGUAGUCAAUGUAAAAUAAGAUAAAGGAAAAAAAAAGACAAAGAAGGACUCCCAAAAAACAGUCUCUAGGACGCUAAUUUAAAACAUCCAAAAUCAUCAGUCAUCUGAAAAUUUAGUUACUGGAACAUUGCAAGCUGGCUUAAUUUAGCACAAGUUACUGAGUUACAGCUGCUCUUAUCAUUUACAUUCACACAGACUAUAUAACAUUGUGCAUUGCUUGUAGUUAUGACUUUUGACUCCUUGUCCUUCUGGGCCGUAGGAAAUACAGGGACGUGAAGAAAGAAAGCUCAGUAAUUUAUUGCUCAAGAUAGAUAUCAUUUGGGUUUUGAUGCAGAUAUGCUUAUCAUGGUUGUGCUAGUUUGUGUUUCAUUCUAACAGAGAGCAAAUCUCAUUAUAAAGCCUGUUUCUCCAAAGGGAAAUACAGCUUGUACAGUUGUGUUCAUUGUUGAUAGCAUACAGAGGACACAGUAAUUGUGUUCCAAAACUACUGAUGAGGUCUGAGCUUGCCUCUUGUCACAAUGGCACAGAUAACAGCCAUGAGCAGUGAUAAGCAGUCAAACCAGGAGAGACCUAGGAGGUCAGAAAUCAAUUGCUUCCAGCUGAUCGAUUUAGGACUGACAGAUCCUGAUGGUUGGUAUAGCAGCUGUAAAAGGAGAUCAGGACUUCCUGGUAAAGAUGAUGUCUGUGGCAAGGCUUCUUGACUCUGUGAUUCCCAGAAAAUGCAGAGAAAAGACACCCCAGUGACUAUGACUCACACUUGGAAGCUACUGCAGGUCCCAGCUCAGAAGCUCUCCUCUCUUGUCUUGACUCAUCAGGAGAGUAAAACAACCUAUGAUCUCCAAACAAUGCUCAUUACAGCCAAACUGAAAAGAAGAAAAAAAAGAAAAUGAACCUCACUACUGUUUAUAACCAUGUUUUCACUGCAAUAGUUAGAAGUAUAUUUUCUCUGCCAUACUUUGUUGUUUUGUCUACUUCAAAGUCAUCUUCUACUCUGAGCUGGAUAGAGAUUCUAAUUUCUAAAGAGAAG
rnacentral:lncRNA from 1 species